rnacentral:rRNA from 1 species
AGAGUUUGAUCAUGGCUCAGAAUGAACGCUGGCGGCACGCUUAACACAUGCAAGUCGAACGAGAUCUUCGGAUCUAGUGGCAGACGGGUGAGUAACGCGUGGGAACCUGCCCAGUAGUAGAGGACAACUUGGGGAAACUUAAGCUAAUACUUUAUACGUCCUUCGGGAGAAAGCUUUAUGCGCUAUUGGAUGGGCCCGCGUUAGAUUAGUUUGUUGGUGAGGUAAUGGCUCACCAAGACUACGAUCUAUAGCUGGUCUGAGAGGAUGAUCAGCCACACUGGGACUGAGACACGGCCCAGACUCCUACGGGAGGCAGCAGUGGGGAAUAUUGGACAAUGGGGGCAACCCUGAUCCAGCGAUGCCGCGUGAGUGAUGAAGGCCCUAGGGUUGUAAAACUCUUUCGUCAGGGAAGAUAAUGACGGUACCUGAAGAAGAAGAUCCGGCUAACUCCGUGCCAGCAGCCGCGGUAAUACGGAGGGAUCUAGCGUUAUUCGGAAUUACUGGGCGUAAAGCGAGCGUAGGCGGAUUUGUAAGUUGGAGGUGAAAUCCCAGAGCUUAACUCUGGAACUGCCUUCAAAACUACAUUUCUUGAGUUUGGUAGAGGAGAGUGGAAUUCCUAGUGUAGAGGUGAAAUUCGUAGAUAUUAGGAGGAACACCAGUGGCGAAGGCGACUCUCUGGGCCAAUACUGACGCUGAGGUUCGAAAGCAUGGGUAGCGAACAGGAUUAGAUACCCUGGUAGUCCAUGCAGUAAACGAUGAGUGCUAGAUGUUGGGAAUUUAAAUUUCCAGUAUCGCAGUUAACGCGUUAAGCACUCCGCCUGGGAAGUACGGCCGCAAGGCUAAAACUCAAAUGAAUUGACGGGGACCCGCACAAGCGGUGGAUCAUGUGGUUUAAUUCGAAGAUACGCGAAGAACCUUACCGGCCCUUGACAUACCAAUCGCGGACUUAAGAGAUUAAGUCUUUCACUUCGGGUGGAUUGGAUACAGGUGCUGCAUGGCUGUCGUCAGCUCGUGUCGU